rnacentral:lncRNA from 1 species
AUGGGUAGCAGCAUUGAACACUUGUCCUGUCUCAUCAGACUGGUCAUCAAGGUUCUGCUGCAUCACCACUCGGUGGAUGAGAUCUCCUAUAUCGCCAAGGAUACCCAGGCCUUCGACUACCACCGGGCCUUCGACUACGCCUCUGGGAAGGAGGGACACCACAGUUGGGAAUGCGACACAAGUGUUUGUGAACUGCGUGUGUGUCAUCUGGAAGAUGAAGGUGUGUGCUCCUCUUCCUUCACAUCCCUCCCUCUCCCUAGCAGGCAAAGCCCCUGAUCGUUGACUUGCAUGACCUCUUCACACUCAUCUACGACAUCAAGCAGUAUGAGGAGCUGGAGAAGGCCAAGAAGGACAAGCAGUGUCACACGCAGACACACACACACACACAAACCCACAUGAAAACCACAUUAAACAUUUAGAGACAUACGACUCAACAGAUUGUAUGCUUGUCUUGAGGUUGGUGAUGUAUAUAGAAACUACAAGUUAUCAUUACUCAUUGUGUAUUUAUUAAUACUUUUAUGACACGUUUUGCUUUUCUAUUUCUUUAUCUCUGCAUUGUUGGGAAGGACCCGUAAGUUAGUAUUUCACUGUCAGUCUACACCUGUUGAUUAACAGUGAAAUCAACAGUUUGUUUUUUUACAUUUAUCUCAUUCAAUUCCUUCACCAAUCAGUUCAGAAAGAGCAAGCAAGCUAGUUGUUUACAUGCGUGAUGGACAGAUAGCCUAUGGCGCAAGAUGCGAAAUUUUGCGAAUGCUCAUCCUAGGUGGGGAGAUAGCAGGAGAGGCUUGAGGAGGAGGCUUGAAGCUCUGGGCAUCUUGUUAUGACAUGCAUUAUCUUAGGCAAAACAAAAAAAAACACGUCUUACCUUUUUGUCGUUAAUAAAUCCAACGUCAAACGUGAUAACUAGGCCUAUAGGAUUCUUAACUAGCUUUAAAAAAGUUCAUCCAUUCUUCCCUCGCUAAUUCAAAAUCUCUCUCCCCAUCUUCUGAAUCACACUUGUAAUGUCAGUACAGUAGUCUAUGAUUCGGGGGGGGGGGGCAGGUACAGUCAAAGAUUUCUAGCUUGCAGGCAGACAUUGUAAUACGUUUCUGAGUGACAGAGUGAGGUCUUUGCAUAGGCUCUUGGUUGCGUUUUUUUUGCCUGGUAUGUAAAAUAACGUUACUAACAGGUUCCCAAUGCCUUUGAAAUAACGGUUCUGUUCAGGAACAGUAUGAAACACCCUGCAUACCACUGCUGGCUUGCUUCUGAAGCUAAGCAGUGUUGGUCCUGGUCAGUUCCUGGAUGGUAGACCAGAUGCUGCUGGAAGUGGUGUUGGAGGGCCAGUAGGAGACACUCUUUCCUCUGGUCUAAAAAAAUAAUAAUAUCCCAAUGCCCCAGGGCAGUGAUUGGGGACACUGCCCUGUGUAGGGUGCCGUCUUUUGGAUGGGAUGUUAAGCGGGUGUCCUGACUCUCUGAGGUCAUUAAAGAUCCCUUGGCACUUAUCGUAAGAGUAGGGGUGUAAUCCCUGGUGUCCUGGCUAAAUUCCCAAUCUGACCAUCACGGUCACCUAAUAAUCCCCAGUUUACAAUUGGCUCAUUCCUCCUAUUCCCCAGGUUGUUGCUGCAGAUGAGAAUGUGUUCUCAGUCAACUUACCUGGUAAAAUAACAGAAAAAUGAAUGGAUCACUUUCGUUCCUGUUAUUUAAUGGUUCUGUUCACUGAACUGAAUUCAACCCCUGGUCCUCAACAAGUUACUUGCAUACAGCUGCACGCACAACAUUACUUUUCAUGUUUCUUGCGGUUGUGGCCACAGUGGUGCCUGCAGAUUUCCACUCCCCACUGGUGGUAGUGCAAAAACAGAUUUUUUCCACACCCACAACUAGUCGCAGCCAAGCAGAGCCACUUCCCCUGCAACACUGGUAGAAUGCCCAAAAGCCUCCUGCUGCUCAUGCUUGUAAGGACAUUGCUCCUUGCGCCCUUGCUCAUUAAUAGUGCACAGGUGGAGUAGUCGAAGUAAAACCGUAACUAGCAAGAUGGAGGCAAACACGAAACGGCGUAUGCAAACCACAGGUAUAAUAAGAACUGGUGACUGCGUCCAAGAUGUCCGACCGUUGUUUUAAAGGUUUUUUUUUUAAAGCACAUUUUAGUUUUCAUGAAUUUUUACGAAAUAGACAAGUUUGAAUCUUUAGCUGUGGUAACUAGUGAGAACACAUUUAAUGUAGUCAACUGGCUGGGACUUCCAACUUCAUUGGCUUAUCCCUCUUGAUGACCCGUUUGGAGUCAUGUCCAAUCAGGUCAUCAGGGCGAGGAUCAGCCAACUGUGAAGAAGCACCAUCGAGAUAACGUCAAUGCUGCUGCCCAUGCCGUCACAGACGCUAUAAUGGCGCAGAUACAAAGAUGAGCCCCCCCUAGGUUUCCAUCCAAUUAGCAGCAGAUUUUCAAACAAAUAUUCUAGGAUGAAGAAAAUAUGUGCAUUUUCCCAUCAUUGGUAUAUUUCCACCGAAUGGACUUGUUGCGGAUAAAAAAUAAUUGUGUGAUGAGGUUCUGCACACAAAAUGUACUUUUUCAUAUCUAAAGUUCAAUACAUAUCUAAAGUUCAAUGUGUUUCCAAAGCAUUUUCAACUCUACUGAUAGUUUUGUUUACAAAAACUGUUGCGAUAAGUAGAAAAUGUGCAUACUCUGGUCUUGAGACUUGCCCUCUAGCCAAUAGCUCGCAGAUACAGUGCAGGUAUGCUGUGCGGGUUGUUUAUUCUACAUGAUGAGAUUAUUAUGUAUCUGCGGCAGUCAAACGGCAGUCAAGCAUAGAUCGUCAUGUCACCAGAAUCAGACCCUCGAUAUUUAUCAGUGGUGAAAAAAGUACACAAUUUUCAUACUUGCGUAAAAGUAAAGAUACCUUGAUAGAAACUCAAGUAAAAGUGAAAGUCAACCAAGAAAAUCCUACUUGAGUAAAAGUCUAAACGUUUUUGGUUUUAAAUAUACUUAGGUAUCAAAGUAAAUAUAAUUGCUAAAACGUACUUCAGGGCUUGUAAGUAAGCAUUUCAAGGUAAGGUCGACACCUGUUGUAUUUGGCGCAUGUGACCAUUUUAAAAAGUUUUUAUUUAUUUGACAUUAAGCAAACCAGUCAGCACCAUUUAUUUGUAUUUUUUUACAGAUAGCCAGGGGCACGCUCCAACACCAACAGGCAUAGUUUACAAAGGAAGCUUGUGUUUAGUGAUUCCGCCAGAUCAGAGGCAGUAGGGAUGACCAGGGAUGUUUUCUUGAUAAGUGUGUGAAUUAGAUAAUUGUCCUGUCCUGCUAAGCAUUCAAAAUGCAACAAGUACUUUAAUUUUGGGUGUCUGGGAAAAUGUAUGGAGUAAAAAGUACAUCAUUUUCUUCAGGAAUGUAGUGAAGCAAAGAUAAAAGUUGUCAAAAAGAGUAAAGUAAGGACAGAUAUCCCCCAAAAAACUACUUAAGUAGUACUUUCAAGUAUUUUUACUUAAGUACUUUACACCGAUGGUAUGUAUUGGAAUGUGGCAAACGUGACAAAACUGCAGUAAUCCUCAAAAUCUCACAGAACAAGCAAAUAGCUAGUUCUUACCAGCUGUCCAGAAGAGUACUUUAUCUUAAUACUAGCUGGUGAAGGUAUCCACAAUGUCCAUAGAAAAAUAACCAGCAAAAACACAAAACCAGCCCCCAAACAAAAUCACUUUUGCAACUUUUUGCUAAUUUCUUGGAACAGCAUGUCUGACUCUGAAACUGAAUCUUUGAACAAUGCUAACGAUGAUCCUGAAUUUCGGGUCAAUGCAAAUGAAGCUGGACCUUUGGACAAUGCUAAUGACUCUGUAACCCCACAAGACUUCUCAGGGCUCCUGAAAAUUGACCUACCACCAGCUAAUCAGUGAGAUGGCACUGAGUCAUUUGCUAGCUGGUCUCGUCGCC